GAUGAAGAACGUAGCGAAAUACGAUAAGUAAUGUGAAUUGCAGAAUUCAGUGAAUCAUCGAAUCUUUGAACGCACCUUGCACUCCUUGGUAUUCCGAGGAGUACGCCUGUUCGAGUGUUAUGAAGCUCUCAAAACGCAAUUGGCUUAAAACCUGAUUGUUGUUUUGGAUUUGAACUUUGCCGUGUUAUAACGGCUGGUUUUAAAAGUAUUAGCUGGUACUAGAACGAAUUGGUUCUACUCAACGUGAUAAUUAUCUGAUCGUUGAGGACAUUCCUUUCACGAGGAAUGGCCAUAGUAAAUUCAAUGGACUGCUUCUAAUCUGGCUUUAAUUCUUUAUUGGAUUAACCACUUUUCAAAUCUGACCUCGAAUCAGGUGGGACUACCCGCUGAACUUAAGCAUAUCAAUAAGCGGAGGA
rnacentral:misc_RNA from 1 species